GGGUUUGUAGCUCAGGUGGUUAGAGCGCACGCCUGAUAAGCGUGAGGUCGGAAGUUCAAGUCUUCCCAGACCCA
rfam:Acetobacter sp. CAG:267 genomic scaffold, scf15